UACGGAGGGUGCAAGCGUUAAUCGGAAUUACUGGGCGUAAAGGGUGCGUAGGUGGUUGAAUAAGUUAUCUGUGAAAUCCCCGGGCUCAACCUGGGAAGGUCAGAUAAGACUGUUUGACUCGAGUAUAGGAGAGGGUAGUGGAAUUUCCGGUGUAGCGGUGAAAUGCGUAGAUAUCGGGAGGAACACCGGGUGGCGAAGGCGGCCUUGCUGGACGGAU
rnacentral:rRNA from 1 species